rnacentral:rRNA from 1 species
UAGGGAAUCUUCCGCAAUGGGCGCAAGUCUGACGGAGCAACGCCGCGUGAGUGAAGAAGGUUUUCGGAUCGUAAAACUCUGUUGUUAGAGAAGAACAAGUGCUAGAGUAACUGUUAGCGCCUUGACGGUAUCUAACCAGAAAGCCACGGCUAACUACGUGCCAGCAGCCGCGGUAAUACGUAGGUGGCAAGCGUUGUCCGGAUUUAUUGGGCGUAAAGCGAGCGCAGGCGGUUCCUUAAGUCUGAUGUGAAAGCCCCCGGCUCAACCGGGGAGGGUCAUUGGAAACUGGGGAACUUGAGUGCAGAAGAGGAGAGCGGAAUUCCAUGUGUAGCGGUGAAAUGCGUAGAUAUAUGGAGGAACACCAGUGGCGAAGGCGACUCUCUGGUCUGUAACUGACGCUGAGGCUCGAAAGCGUGGGUAGCAAACAGGAUUAGAUACCCUGGUAGUCCACGCCGUAAACGAUGAGUGCUAAAGUGUUGGAGGGUUUCCGCCCUUCAGUGCUGCAGUUAACGCAUUAAGCACUCCGCCUGGGGAGUACGACCGCAAGGUUG